GAAGAAGCAGCAGAGGUAUAAUUCAAACCAAGGUCCUUCUCAUCUUGUAAAUGCAAAGAGAAACAAAAGAUGAAAGGGGAAAGGAAUCUCUGCAGACAUUACAAAAGCCAUAUCUCUUCUGACUUUUACAUCCAGAACCCCAUGCUCCGAAGUCCCAGACCAAAUGUAAAAUCUUCAUGAUGAGGGAGACCCUGACACCUCUUCAGAUUCCAGGC
rnacentral:lncRNA from 1 species